UACGUAGGGUGCGAGCGUUAAUCGGAAUUACUGGGCGUAAAGGGCGCGUAGGCGGCUGCUCAAGUCGGGUGUGAAAGCCCGGGGCUCAACCCCGGAACGGCACCCGAGACUGGGCGGCUCGAGACCGGGAGAGGUGGGUGGAAUACCCAGUGUAGAGGUGAAAUUCGUAGAUAUUGGGUGGAACACCGGUGGCGAAAGCGGCUCACUGGCCCGGUAUUGACGCUGAGGCGCGAAAGCCAGGGGAGCAAAGCGGG
rnacentral:rRNA from 1 species